rnacentral:rRNA from 1 species
CCCGCAAGGGGUGGAGCUGACCGGUACUAACGGGGGAAAGGCAAUCACACAACACGCCAUGUUGUUUUUGGUGUUGCCCGUAUUGCGUCCUUCGGCUUGUUCCCCCGGCAGGGAGCAUCCGUUUGGUCCACGGAACGAAUUCGCGUCCAUUGUCCGGUUCCCGAACCGCCAUAUGCCACCGUCCCCCCGGCGGGGUGGUGAUAGGUUGAAGAUUUGCGGCGACCAUAGCCAAGGUGAGACGCCCGGUCCCAUUCCGAACCCGGAAGCUAAGGCCUUGCACGGCGAUGGUACUGCACCUGAGAGGGUGUGGGAGAGUAGCACGUCGCCGCUU